rnacentral:rRNA from 1 species
CUUUGGGAUAACCCUCGGAAACGGGGGCUAAUACCGGAUAUGACUGCCGCCCGCAUGGGUGGUGGUGGAAAGAUUUUUCGGCUGAGGUUGGACUCGCGGCCUAUCAGCUUGUUGGUGGGGUGAUGGCCUACCAAGGCGACGACGGGUAGCCGGCCUGAGAGGGCGACCGGCCACACUGGGACUGAGACACGGCCCAGACUCCUACGGGAGGCAGCAGUGGGGAAUAUUGCACAAUGGGCGGAAGCCUGAUGCAGCGACGCCGCGUGAGGGAUGAAGGCCCUCGGGUUGUAAACCUCUUUCAGCAGGGACGAAGCGUAAGUGACGGUACCUGCAGAAGAAGCGCCGGCCAACUACGUGCCAGCAGCCGCGGUAAGACGUAGGGCGCGAGCGUUGUCCGGAUUUAUUGGGCGUAAAGAGCUCGUAGGCGGCUUGUUGCGUCGACCGUGAAAACCCGGGGCCCAACUUCGGGCUUGCGGUCGAUACGGGCGGGCUAGAGUUCGGUAGGGGAGACUGGAAUUCCUGGUGUAGCGGUGAAAUGCGCAGAUAUCAGGAGGAACACCGGUGGCGAAGGCGGGUCUCUGGGCCGAUACUGACGCUGGGGAGCGAAAGCGUGGGGAGCGAACAGGAUUAGAUACCCUGGUAGUCCACGCUGUAAACGUUGGGCGC